ACAUACGACCAUACCCACGUGAAAACACGGGAUCCCGUCCGCUCUCCCUUAGUUAAACACGUGAGGGCCCGAGUAGUAGUUGGGUCGGUGACGACCAGCGAAUGUCGGGUGUUGUAUGUC
rnacentral:rRNA from 1 species